GCAUUGGUGGUGUAAUGGUAACAUCGAGUCUUCCCAUUUGGGACGCUUGGCUUGGCCCCGGGUUCGAUUCCCGGCCAAUGCA